GUGGGAGUCCUACUUUGGUAAGCGUGGCAAAUAGAAAGGGCCAGAGAAGGCGAUCAAAUGCCUUCUCAGUGUCUAGUGAGAGGAUUAGGGUGGGAAUUUUAUGGGCGUUGGCUGUCCAGUUUAGGUCAAACACUUUCCUGGUGUUGUUCCCUGCUUGUCUCGCGGGUCUGAAGCCCACUUGAUCUGGGUGAAUUAAUUUGGGAAGAAA